rnacentral:tRNA from 1 species
GCGGCUAUGGUUUAGUGGUAGAACGCUUCCUUGCCAAGGAAGGGGCACGGGUUCGAUUCCCGUUAGCCGCUCCA